rnacentral:tRNA from 1 species
AGCCCCAUGGUGUAGUGGCCCAGCAUAGAAGCCUCUGGAGCUUCGGACCCAGGUUCGAAUCCUGGUGGGGCUA